AGCCCUCCGCUCUGUGAGGGUGCCCGAUUUUUUUUUUCUGUGUGUGUUGUUACUGUUGUUCUGUUUUGCGAAGCGUGGAGAAGCCGCAGGCACCCUCACCCCCUUCAUGCCCCACAAGCGACCGCAGUCCUCCGCAGGAGAGUCGAACGGGACGGCCGAUCUCAAAAAGCCGCGUUUCGACCCCGUCUCACUGGGCCUCCCUGCUGAGUUCCAGCUCACCGACUACACACGCCUGAAGGGGUGCAGCUGCAAACUGCCACAGCCAAAGCUGCUAGCCCUGCUGCAGGAACUCUCGACAACGCCUGGGCAGAAGGACGUCGGCAUGGACUGCAGCAUUGUGCCGCUGCACCACACAAACCGCAAAGGUGAGGCUCUGUUCCUCGUCUCCACCACGGACUUCUUCUUCCCCAGUGUGUCAGACCCGUUCCUGCAGGGUCAGAUCGGGGCUGCAAACGUCUUGUCAGACCUGUACAGCAUGGGCAUCCCGGAUUGUGAUACAAUGCUGAUGCUGCUCGCGGCCAGCACCGAGAUGGACGAGCAUGAACGCCUGAUUACGACGCGCGAAAUCAUGAAGGGCUUUGCGGAGCGGGCGCGGCUGGCGACGACGACGGUGACAGGCGGGCAGACGGUCAUGAACCCGUGGCCGCUGAUUGGCGGGGUGGCCAUGGCCGUCGUGUCCGAAGCGGAAAUGGUGCGGCCAGCAGGGCUCUUGUGCGCCGGGGACAUCUUGGUGCUGACGAAGCCGCUGGGGUGCCAGGUUGCAGUGAAUCUCAAGCAGUGGCUGCUGCGGCCCUCGCCGCUGUACGAAGAGGCCAUUGCAGGGCACAUCUCCCCCGAAGAGAUCGAGGAGCUGUACAACAUGGCCACGGAUAGCAUGCGGCGUCUGAACCGCGAAGGGGCUCGGCUGAUGCGGAAGCACGGCGCACACGGGGCCACCGACGUGACCGGCUUUGGCAUUCUGGGGCACGCGAACAACUUUGGAGCAGCGCAGACCGUCGGCGAUGCACCGCGCUCGCUCUGCCUCGUACUGGAACGGCUGCCGAUGUUCAAGACCGCCGUCGCCGCCUCGAAGCGGAUGAACGACAAGUACCGCCUCCUCGAAGGGUACUCGGCCGAGACGAGCGGCGGGCUGCUGGUGGCGUUCCCGAGCACCACCGCAGCCGAGGCGUUCUGCGCGGAGCUCACGGCGAUCGAUGGCGGGUGUCCGUCGUGGAUUGUCGGGCAUGUGGAGGAUCGCGCCGCCAACGUCGUCGAUGGUGUUUACGCUCGCCUCAAGGACGGGUAUGAAAUUGUAGAGGUGUGAGGCGUCGGCGAAGGGGUAAGCCGAUGCGGAAAGCAAAGUCAGUCUCUGAUGUGGAAGUUGCUGGGUGUUCCACCGUUCGUGCUUGUCUCACGCCUCGCGCUAGUCGCGUAUGAGGACACCCUCGUUCUCUUUUUUUUUUGCGAAAACCUAACCUACAGCUAUGCACCUCAAUCCUCCACCACAUCAUCACCACAGCCGCUCUGUCUUUCCCUUUCCUCGCUUUUUUAG
rnacentral:misc_RNA from 1 species